GACGAACGCUGGCGGCGUGCCUAACACAUGCAAGUCGAACGGAAAGGCCCUGCUUUUGCGGGGUGCCCGAGUGGCGAACGGGUGAGUAACACGGGAGUAUCCUGCCCUUGACUUUGGGAUAACUUCAGGAAACUGGGGCUAAUACCGGAUAGGAGCUCCUGCAGCAUGGUGGGGGUUGGAAAGCUCCGGCGGUUGGGGAUGGACUCGCGGCUUAUCAGCUUGUUGGUGGGGUAGUGGCUUACAAAGGCUUCGACGGAUAGUCGGCCUGAGAGGGUGAACGGGCACAUUAGGACUGAGGUACGGAGCAGUCUGCUACGGGAGGCAGCAGGGGGGAGUCUUACACAGUGAGGGGGAGCGUGAGACGGAAGCGCCGCGUGCGUGAUGACGGCCUACGGGUUGUGAACCGCUUUCGCCUGUGACGAAGCGUGAGUGACGGUAAUGGGUAAAGAAGCACCGGCUAACUACGUG
rnacentral:rRNA from 1 species